GGGCCGUUAGCUCAGUUGGGAGAGCGCCUCCAUGGCAUGGAGGAGGUCGAGAGUUCGAGCCUCUUACGGUCCACCA
rnacentral:tRNA from 1 species